AAACCAACAGGGAUUGCCCCAGUAGCGGCGAGUGAAGCGGCAAAAGCUCAGAUUUGGAAUCGCUUCGGCGAGUUGUGAAUUGCAGGUUGGCGCCUCUGCGGCGGCGGCGGUCCAAGUCCCUUGGAACAGGGCGCCAUUGAGGGUGAGAGCCCCGUGGGACCGUUUGCCUACGCUCUGAGGCCCUUCUGACGAGUCGAGUUGUUUGGGAAUGCAGCUCUAAGCGGGUGGUAAAUUCCAUCUAAGGCUAAAUACUGGCGAGAGACCGAUAGCGAACAAGUACUGUGAAGGAAAGAUGAAAAGCACUUUGAAAAGAGAGUGAAACAGCACGUGAAAUUGUUGAAAGGGAAGGGUAUUGCGCCCGACAUGGAGCGUGCGCACCGCUGCCCCUCGUGGGCGGCGCUCUGGGCGUGCUCUGGGCCAGCAUCGGUUUUUGCCGCGGGAGAAGGGCGGCGGGCAUGUAGCUCUUCGGAGUGUUAUAGCCUGCCGCCGGCGCCGCGAGCGGGGACCGAGGACUGCGACUUUUGUCUCGGAUGCUGGCACAACGGCGCAACACCGC
rnacentral:rRNA from 1 species